rnacentral:rRNA from 1 species
AACGAACGCUGGCGGCAUGCCUAACACAUGCAAGUCGAACGAGAUCUUCGGGUCUAGUGGCGCACGGGUGCGUAACGCGUGGGAAUCUGCCCUUUGGUUCGGAAUAACAGUUGGAAACGACUGCUAAUACCGGAUGAUGACGAAAGUCCAAAGAUUUAUGGCCAGAGGAUGAUCCCGCGUAGGAUUAGCUAUUUGGUGCGGUAAAGGCGCACCAAGGCGACGACCCUUAGCUGGUCUGAGAGGAUGAUCAGCCACACUGGGACUGAGACACGGCCCAGACUCCUACGGGAGGCAGCAGUGGGGAAUAUUGGACAAUGGGCGAAAGCCUGAUCCAGCAAUGCCGCGUGAGUGAUGAAGGCCUUAGGGUUGUAAAGCUCUUUUACCCGGGAUGAUAAUGACAGUACCGGGAGAAUAAGCUCCGGCUAACUCCGUGCCAGCCGCCGCCGUAA